CCCCCACAUCCAGAGGGGCCUGACCCUUGGGGGCGGGGCCACAUCCCGGGCAGGGGUCAAGGCCUGGGGGCGGGGCCUGCAUUGCAGCAGAUCCAGCUUUUGUAGGCAGCGACUGCCUCUCAGGAUCCUAGGUCUCAAAGCCAGAGCUCGGUAUUCUGCUCACAAAAGAGAUUGUGACAGGGCUUUCUGGCAGUCUGAGAGACUUUUCCACCUCCCCUCCUGCGGCGCUCCACCAAGUAUCGCUUCACCUCAGUCUGUUGGGGCCUUGGUUCAGGCUGCGGCCUACCAAGGCUUUGAAGGGCCCCAGAGGCCCUGAGCACGGGACCCGCGCUCUCUGCCUGAACUUCAACAUCUUCGUCGCCAUCACUGUAAUGCUGACUGCAGUCUAGUGAGCGCUAGGUUUAAAGACCAAAUAACCUUGAAGUUUAGCAGCUUGAAACAACACACAUUUGAAAGUAUGUCAUACUUUCUGAAGGUUAGAGAUCCAGGAAUAGCCUAUGUACAUCCUUUGCUUUAGGAUCUCUCAGAAGGCUGCAGUCAGGGUGCUCACUGAACUGUCUGGUGAGUAUAGCAGCCACCAGCUGAGGCUUAGCCUGAAGCUUGAGGACCGACUUGGUGGCAUUCUAGCCACACUGGCUCCUGACAGAUUCCAGCAUUCAUCAGCCAUGCUUCAUUUUAGAGCUUGCUCCUACCUUGUCUUUGCCCAGAGUGCAUACUCAAAGCUGGUUGCAUGACUGGUUCUGAGUCCUGACUUAAAAGGACUGGUUCUGACUGACCUGUCUGAAUUGUGCCCUUACUCCAGUUUCUAUACAUAGUAAUUGCUCUGAACUCUUCUCACUAUUUUAGUUCAUUUGUUAAUUUUUUUUUGGUUAGCUGAACUAUUAUCUGUUUUUUUUUGCCGUAGUAAUGUUAACCCCAGGAGGGGAGAAAUUUUAUUUGUCUUGAUUAAAGUUAUAUAUCCAUGGCCUAAAUCUAUGUCUGUCAUACUGUAGGCACCCAAAAAACAGUUGUUUAAUUAGUAAUGAAUGUCUGUGUAUUCAUUUACUUACAAUUUGGCUGUGCUGCACUGCAGUGGGAUCUCAGUUUCCCAACCAGGGAUCAAACUGCACCCUCUGAUGGAAGUGCAGAGUCUUAACUGUGGGCCUGCCAUGGAAGUCACAGUAAUGAAUUUAUGUUUAAAAUCAAAUUUCAAUAUUUUACCUAUG
rnacentral:lncRNA from 1 species